rnacentral:rRNA from 1 species
UUUGAUCCUGGCUCAGAACGAACGCUGGCGGCGUGGAUAAGACAUGCAAGUCGAACGAGAUUUUUUUCUGUAGCAAUACAGGAAAAAAUCUAGUGGCGAACGGGUGCGUAACACGUGGGCAAUCUGUCUUGAAGUGGGGGAUAGCUCGGCGAAAGCCGGAUUAAUACCGCAUGUGAUCAGGAGCGACAUCGCUCCUGACAUCAAAGGUGCCGCAAGGUACCGCUUCUUGAGGAGCCCGCGGCCUAUCAGCUAGUUGGUGGGGUAACGGCUCACCAAGGCGAUGACGGGUAGCUGGUCUGAGAGGACGACCAGUCACACUGGAACUGAGACACGGUCCAGACACCUACGGGUGGCAGCAGUCGAGAAUUUCUCUCAAUGGGGGAAACCCUGAAGGAGCG